GUUGACAUGAACAGAAGCUCUUCUCUCCCACAGAAAACACAGCUCCUGAACACCUCAAGUAAAGCUACCUGGGAGCUCAAAACACGACAAGGCCAAACGAAGAAACGGCGCUGCUGGCCGGGGCGUGUGCGAGCUGACCAAUCAGAGCAGACUGAGUAUUAAGGAGGGGGACCGGCGCUCAAACUGGUAGUACAGCGCUACAGCACUUGACGGUGGAAACCAUCUGACCACGAAUAGAGAAGUGGUGCAGUGAAAGUGGGACUAUGCGCGUGUCCCCUGUGUGUGCGUGUGGGGCGCCUCACCAGUCUGUCGAUGACGUUCUGGAUGGUCUUGUACCACUCUUUGAUCAGCG